rnacentral:rRNA from 2 species
CAUGGGUGUAGUUCAUCUAAGCUAAUAUUGGCCGGAGACCGAUAGCGCACAAGUAGAGUGAUCGAAAGGUUAAAAGCACCUUGAAAAGGGAGUUAAAUAGCACGUGAAAUUGUUGAAAGGGAAGCGCUUGCAACCAGACUCGGUUCCGGGGGCUCAGCGGGCAUGCGUGCCCGUGUACUCCCCCGUCUCCGGGCCAGCAUCAGUUCGAGCGGCCGGUCAAAGGCCCCGGGAACGUAUCAUCCUCCGGGAUGCCUUAUAGCCCGGGGUGCAAUGCGGCCAGCUCGGACUGAGGAACGCGCCUCGGCACGGAUGCUGGCGUAAUGGUUGUAAGCGGCCCGUCUUAAUCA